GGAAACUGGGACGCGAUCGCCACCGGGUUUUGAAGGAAUACCUCGAAUAUUGAUGCUACCGACGUAAGCUGACUGUCGGACCGGGGAGCGAGAUGACAGAAUACUGCGCCUCGCACGCGAUACACGCCGAGUACCGAUCGUCUAGGUGGACGACCAGGUGGUAGCUAGGUAGGAGCUACAGUGAAUCAUGCGUCAUCGCGCGAAGGGAUAAUUACACUCUGGAGCGAACGCACGAUUCUUGAAGUGACCAGAAGCAAGACAGGUGGGCUUGCGUUCCGGUUAGAAAAGGAGUUUUCUAAAGAUAAGAAACGGAACAAAUAAAACUGAGGAACCAAAGGAUUUUCCUUGACGAGCGAUCAAAAAUGGGAUAAGUCUUGCUUGGCAGAGAAGAGAAAGUGAGAGGAUAGAAACUUCCUUCCCACAAGUGACCAGAGACAGAGACAAUCCGGCAAGAAGAGAUAAACUUGUAAAAGAAAAAACGAAGCGACGAAAAGUAGGAAAAUAGGAAUUUCCAGUUGAUCGGUCGACACAGAAGAAAGUGCACACAAAACUAUUUAGGAAAGGAUUCCCUGAAAUUGUGUUACAACAAAGAAAGACAUUUUUCUUUUUGUAUCUUCUGUAUUUACAAUAAUUCCGUACGUCACAGUUGCGUGAUGUCACCAUACGUCACGCUUCACGUGCAAUGACGCAGGACCUUUCUAAGCGAAAGGAGAACCGGUACAUUCUCUUAGCGUCGAGAAGAGAUGAAAUUACACGCGGCAUUCAUAUUGCGCAUUUGCACGCUCAUUAUGCAUACACUUACAUAAUAAAACAUUUAAAGUCAUCUUCGCAAACUUAUGCAAAUUAAUUUAGUAAUAAUUAUGCAAUUAGUAAUAAUUAUUUUCAUAAUUAAAAAGCAAUACUGUUGCUCCGCAUUUCUCUCACAGAAAACCAGACUUAAAGUAAAAUAUUUCAGGCAUUUUAUUCACGCAUCUUUUUAAAAUUUUCUGAAGAGCAAUUGCUCAAUGUUUUAAUGUCUCAAUGUUGCAUACACGGUGCCGUAGUUGUUCAGGUCAUGUGGCGACAUUUUCAAACUCACAUAAUUUCAAUUUUCAAUACAAUUUUUCGUCAAGUUUAAGAACGUAUAGUUAACGUAGCAAGGACAAAUGAUGAAUUGCAAUUUGCUCGAAAUACGCGGGAAACAAAACCACUUAUUAUCAUCAUUACACAUAGCGGCGUGAUAUGACAUAUGUGCCAGCAAUUGUAUAACUAAGUUUUCAUCGAUAAAACAGCAAAUGUGACACGUGUAGUUCUA